rnacentral:lncRNA from 1 species
UCCUGUUUCUGUUUACUUUUAGAAUACAGGAAAUGCACAGACUGAAAGGAAGAAGAACCUGCCAGAUGUAAAGUAGAAAACGCAGCAGCUGAAAAUUCAGGGAAUAUCAGAAUUACAAUAUGGUUUAAAGAGAAUGCUUUUUAUUAAUGUUACAUACACAAAAGUGUUGACCAGAGGAUCAUACAGAUUAAUGAAAAAUCCUAUAUAGUUAUGUGUAUAUUCACCUAAAUUUGAAAUUUAUAAAAUUUGAAUUACUUGUUGUCUUAACUUGAACAUUAAUUUAUAAAAAAUUGCCUGAACUGUAUAUUCUAAUAAAAUUGCAGUUUACAUUAAGUCAAAUAAUUUUAUUUGAACAUCUGUUAUUUCAGGCAUGUUUGAUUAGUGGUCAAUCUCAGCUUUGGCUCAGAGUUUUAUAAUUACAGAAGGGAGUUUCUAAAUACGUCAUAAAGUGAGAUCCCCAAUGUCUGAGAGCACCAAACAUUUGUGGGCAAACAAGUAUACUUGAUAAACAUGAAACAUGGGUUUGGUUCCACACUGUGCGCUCUGAAACAGCAUUUACCCCACAGAUUGAGAAAUUGUUUAAAAAGAUGGAAACUAGAUAAAGCAAGGAAGCAAUUCUUUUGGCCUGACCAGCGUAUUUAUAAUUUAGUUCUUUACACAUAAUAUAAAGUUAACACAGUCAAGGUUUUAGCAGCAUAUAUUUACAUUCUUAUCUUUGAUUCUUACUAGCUUGGUUUCUAAUUUUAGGGUGGAGAUGGCCAUUGUGAGGGGAAGAAUUUGAAGAGGAACAGAUUUUUUUUCUGGUAGUGUCUUUUAAAUAAUGGUAAAAAUACAAACUGACAACUUCCUUUUUAAUGUUAUAUACAAUAGAAAUGUACCUUGAGCUGUUGCUAAGACAGCCAUCCAUCCAUCUGCAUUAGCCUCAUCCAAUUGUUUUUGUUUUGUUAGGAAAAUAUUCACUGUUUUCUUCUUUCUUCUAAGAACUCUGUUGUUGUGAUGCUUUGAUUUGGAAUUGUAAAGUCAUCUUCUCUCUGCCUGUUUUUUACUUGCCAUGAUUACUGAGUGGGUAACAUUCCCUGUUACAUGACACACAUUAUUUAUACUGAUCUCUACCCUCUUGAGAAUCACAGAACUUCAAAAGUCAAUUAUCUCCUAGAACUCUCCAGUUUCCUGAAAACAAAUUCUUAAUGAAAUAGCUAAUCCAUUAUUUUAUUUUAUUUUUAGUAUUACAAUUGAGCUCUAGCCCUUUUUAUUUUUUAUUUUGAGACAAGUUCUCACUAAAUUGCUUAGGGCCUCAUUGAAUUGCUGAGGUUGACCUUGAACUUGUGUUCCUCUUGCCUCAGACU